rnacentral:rRNA from 1 species
UACGUAGGGUGCUAGCGUUGUCCGGAUUUAUUGGGCGUAAAGGGCUCGUAGGCGGCGUGUCGCGUCGGGAGUGAAAGCCCGCUGCUUAACGGCGGGUUGGCUUCCGGUACGGGCAUCGCUGGAGUGCGGCAGGGGAGACUGGAAUACUUGGUGUAGCAGUGAAAUGCGUAGAUAUCAAGUGGAACACCAGUGGCGAAGGCGAGUCUCUGGACAUUUCCUGACGCUGAGGCACGAAAGCCAGGGGAGCAAACGGG